rnacentral:rRNA from 1 species
GACGAUACAGGGUGAUAGUCCCGUAGUUGACGACGUGUGUUCAGUGAAAUCGAGUAGGGCGGGACACGUGAUAUCCUGUCUGAAUAUGGGGGGACCAUCCUCCAAGGCUAAAUACUACUGACUGACCGAUAGUGAACCAGUACCGUGAGGGAAAGGCGAAAAGAACCCCUGUGAGGGGAGUGAAAUAGAACCUGAAACCGUGUACGUACAAGCAGUAGGAGCAGGCUUUGUCCUGUGACUGCGUACCUUUUGUAUAAUGGGUCAGCGACUUAUAUUCAGUGGCAAGGUUAACCAUCUAGGGGAGCCGUAGGGAAACCGAGUCUUAACUGGGCGUUCAGUCUCUGGAUAUAGACCCGAAACCAGGUGAUCUAGCCAUGGGCAGGUUGAAGGUUGAGUAACAUCAACUGGAGGACCGAACCGACUAAUGUUGAAAAAUUAGCGGAUGACUUGUGGCUAGGGGUGAAAGGCCAAUCAAACCUGGAGAUAGCUGGUUCUCCCCGAAAGCUAUUUAGGUAGCGCCUCGGACGAAUACUACUGGGGGUAGAGCACUGUUAAGGCUAGGGGGUCAUCCCGACUUACCAACCCUUUGCAAACUCCGAAUACCAGUAAGUACUAUCCGGGAGACACACGGCGGGUGCUAACGUCCGUCGUGGAGAGGGAAACAACCCAGACCGCCAGCUAAGGUCCCAAAUUACUACUAAGUGGGAAACGAUGUGGGAAGGCUCAGACAGCCAGGAUGUUGGCUUAGAAGCAGCCAUCAUUUAAAGAAAGCGUAAUAGCUCACUGGUCGAGUCGGCCUGCGCGGAAGAUGUAACGGGGCUAAGUAGUAAACCGAAGCUGCGGCAAUGCACUUUAGUGCAUUGGGUAGGGGAGCGUUCUGUAAGCGGUUGAAGGUGUGUGGUAACGCAUGCUGGACGUAUCAGAAGUGCGAAUGCUGACAUGAGUAACGAUAAAGGGGGUGAAAAACCUCCUCGCCGGAAGACCAAGGGUUCCUGUCCAACGUUAAUCGGGGCAGGGUAAGUCGACCCCUAAGGCGAGGCCGAAAGGCGUAGUCGAUGGGAAACGGGUUAAUAUUCCCGUACUUCUUACAAUUGCGAUGGGGGGACGGAGAAGGCUAGGUGGGCCUGGCGACGGUUGUCCAGGUUCAAGUGCGUAGGCUGAGAAAUUAGGUAAAUCCGGUUUCUCUUAAGGCUGAGACACGACGUCGAGCUACUACGGUAGUGAAGUCAUUGAUGCCAUGCUUCCAGGAAAAGCCUCUAAGCUUCAGAUUGUAAGGAAUCGUACCCCAAACCGACACAGGUGGUCGGGUAGAGAAUACCAAGGCGCUUGAGAGAACUCGGGUGAAGGAACUAGGCAAAAUGGUACCGUAACUUCGGGAGAAGGUACGCUCUCGACGGUGAAGUCCCUCGCGGAUGGAGCUAUUGAGAGUCGCAGAUACCAGGUGGCUGCAACUGUUUAUUAAAAACACAGCACUGUGCAAAAUCGCAAGAUGACGUAUACGGUGUGACGCCUGCCCGGUGCCGGAAGGUUAAUUGAUGGGGUUAGACUUCGGUCGAAGCUCUUGAUCGAAGCCCCGGUAAACGGCGGCCGUAACUAUAACGGUCCUAAGGUAGCGAAAUUCCUUGUCGGGUAAGUUCCGGACCCCUUAUCGGGGUUGCGGACAGUGCCUGGUGGGUAGUUUGACUGGGGCGGUCUCCUCCCAAAGCGUAACGGAGGAGCACGAAGGUGGGCUAAUCACGGUUGGACAUCGUGAGGUUAGUGCAAUGGCAUAAGCCCGCUUGACUGCGAGAAUGACAAUUCGAGCAGGUGCGAAAGCAGGUCAUAGUGAUCCGGUGGUUCUGAAUGGAAGGGCCAUCGCUCAACGGAUAAAAGGUACUCCGGGGAUAACAGGCUGAUACCGCCCAAGAGUUCAUAUCGACGGCGGUGUUUGGCACCUCGAUGUCGGCUCAUCACAUCCUGGGGCUGAAGUCGGUCCCAAGGGUAUGGCUGUUCGCCAUUUAAAGUGGUACGCGAGCUGGGUUUAGAACGUCGUGAGACAGUUCGGUCCCUAUCUGCCGUGGGCGUUGGAGAAUUGAAAGGGGCUGCUCCUAGUACGAGAGGACCGGAGUGGACGAACCUCUGGUGUUCGGGUUGUGUCGCCAGACGCAUUGCCCGGUAGCUAAGUUCGGGAUCGAUAACCGCUGAAAGCAUCUAAGCGGGAAGCGAGCCUUGAGAUGAGUUCUCCCUGAUACUUUAAGUAUCCUAAAGGGUUGUCGUAGACUACGACGUUGAUAGGCAGGGUGUGUAAGCGUUGUGAGGCGUUGAGCUAACCUGUACUAAUUGCCCGUGAGGCUUAACCAUACAACACCCAAGGGGUUU